rnacentral:rRNA from 1 species
ACGCACGCAAGUGUGAAACUCAAAGGAAUUGACGGGGGCCCGCACAAGCGGUGGAGUAUGUGGUUUAAUUCGAUGCAACGCGAAGAACCUUACCAGGGUUUGACAUCCUGCGAAUCUUUUGGAAACAGAAGAGUGCCUUCGGGAGCGCAGAGACAGGUGGUGCAUGGCUGUCGUCAGCUCGUGUCGUGAGAUGUUGGGUUAAGUCCCGCAACGAGCGCAACCCACGUCGUUAGUUGCCAGCAUUCAGUUGGGCACUCUAGCGAGACCGCCGGUGAUAAACCGGAGGAAGGUGUGGAUGACGUCAAGUCAUCAUGCCCCUUACAUCCUGGGCUACACACGUACUACAAUGCUACGGACAAAGGGCAGCAAACUCGCGAGAGCUAGCAAAUCCCAUAAACCGUGGCUCAGUUCAGAUCGUAGGCUGCAACUCGCCUACGUGAAGGAGGAAUCGCUAGUAAUCGCAGGUCAGCAUACUGCGGUGAAUACGUUCCCGGGCCUUGUACACACCGCCCGUCACACCAUGGAAGUUGGCCACGCCCGAAGUCGUUACUCCAACCCUUGUGGAGGAGGACGCCGAAGGUGGGGCUGAUGACUGGGGUG